CACUGAGAAUGAUUGCUGCACUAUAUGUAUUGUUCUCUAGCAACCUGAAGGUCCAAGACUCAAUCCACUGAAGGCUCUCUCUCGUAAGAUGGUGGAUCUGAUGUCUGCUUUGUGGUCCUAUAGGACGACGCCAUGGAUUGGGGUCAGAGAUGCGCCUGAGAAGUGCUGUAAAUGCUGGCCAUAUGACUUCAACCUUCAUCCAACCAAACAAAGAGAUCCUGCUUUCCUGCAUUCACACUAAUCCAUUGAGGAUGUUAGUUAAUUCAAAGACAAGAACAGUAUUUAGUUUUGUAAAUGCUUAACUACCACUCAAUGCAAUGCCAUGUCUCUGCAGGACACAUCUACUGGCAGUUGAUGGAGGGGGUUUAGGGCAGUUGAUUAUUGUGGGAACAGCAUCGUCUGUAAGAUGCUUUCUUUUUUGCUGUAAAAUACAUUAUCAAUAUUGUGCUAUUCUUUUCCUUGUGGGGAGACUGCAGAAUAUGGCUAUGUAUGCAGGUGUUAAAUUGUGGGAUUUGUUGAAAAUGUGAAUUUCAAAUAAAACCAUACCAUUCAAAGUUA